rnacentral:rRNA from 23 species
AAAACUUUCAACAACGGAUCUCUUGGUUCUGGCAUCGAUGAAGAACGCAGCGAAAUGCGAUAAGUAAUGUGAAUUGCAGAAUUCAGUGAAUCAUCGAAUCUUUGAACGCACAUUGCGCCCUGUGGUAUUCCGCAGGGCAUGCCUGUUCGAGCGUCAUU